rnacentral:rRNA from 1 species
CGGCGGACGGGUGAAUAAUGUCUGGGAAACUGCCUGAUGGAAGGGGAUAACUACUGGAAACGGUAGCUAGUACCGCAUAACGUCCCAAGACCAAAGUGGGGGACCUUCCGGCCUCAUGCCAUCAGAUGUGCCCAGAUGGGAUUAGCUAGUAGGUGGGGUAACGGCUCACCUAAGCGACGAUCCCUAGCUGGUCUGAGAGGAUGACCAGCCACACUGGAACUGAGACACGGUCCAGACUCCUACGGGAGGCAGCAGUGGGGAAUAUUGCACAAUGGGCGCAAGCCUGAUGCACCAUGCCGCGUGUAUGAAGAAGCCUUCGGGUUGUAAAGUACUUUCAGCGGGGAGGAAGGC